UACAAUGCAACCAAAGCUUUCCUACAGUACUACGUAGUGAAAAAAUCCCCAAACAAAGAGAAAACAAAAUGUCUAUCCUUCAGUCAAGUAAGCAACAGCCAUUGAAGUACAAAAUGCAUCCGAGUAUUUGGGGGCUACAAGGAGGACUGCACAGUGACAAAAUACACCCACCUGUUGAUAACACCCA
rnacentral:sRNA from 1 species